CGAACACUUGUCUGAUUUUACACAUGAUAGCCAAGUUGAAAAUUUUCGUCACAUUUUUCUCAGGAACUACAAUACAAGGAUUUAUGAAAUUUGGUUUCAGGAUUUAUAUAAGUCAGCUAUACCGUGUGAUGCGUUUUCAGAUUCAUCACUCGACAACUUCCUGUUUACCGAACACUUGUAUGAUUUUACACAUGAUAACCAAGUUAAAAAUUUUCGUCACAUUUUUCUCAGGAACUACAAUACAAGGAUUUCUGAAAUUUGGUUUCAGGAUUUUUAUAAGUCAGCUUAUAGCCGUACCGUGUGAUGCGUUUUCAGAUUCAUCACUCGACAACUUCCUGUUUACCGAACACUUGCAUAUUUUUACACUAUUAAUAUUAUCCACUUGCGGCGGGGG
rnacentral:lncRNA from 1 species